GUUCUUUCCAUACUUUUUGUUUUUGUAUUAUUUUUUUUCUUCUUAAACAUUAUGUUUUCUUUAUUUUAUUUUGCUGCGCCAUUCAUAUUGAACUGUAUGUUAAUUUUACUGUGUGUGUGUGUGUAUAUAUAUAUUGCGUAGUAGUUGAGACGUAGCUGAGUUUUUAAUCUGGUUCGUAUGCAGCAUUUUAAUAGUAAUUGGCAACUCUAAUACUCUCAAUAUUUCUAUAUGCAAUGUAUGAGAAUUAGUCGCAUUUGUUUUGUGGCUUUUCUUGAAAAAAUAUCUGCAACGAAUUUGUUGAUCUUUGCAAUAAUUCGAUUUUUGCAGUCUUUCUUUAACGUUGAAAUAAAUAUUUUGUGCAUAGUUACAAGUAAAGCAUAAUUCACUUAAUGCAAUUGUUACAAACUAACGAAAUAAUGCACACACAAUAAAUUAUAACCAAAUGCAGCUUAAAAUGUCGAGAAAUACGGGAAAUAUCCAAUAAGAAUUUCGUACAGCCGGCGUUUUACAAUUGGAAUUGUUCUUGUUUUCUAUGAUGCUUGUCCGGAUGCUUACACUAAUAAGUGAGAGGUUCUUAUAAAGUAAACCUUUUCUCAGGUUUUCAGACAGGACGGGUCACUGUUCUGUUAAAUAUAACGAUUAAGAAACAUUUCGUACUCUGAGACAAAGUAAGGAUUGUCGAUCUCGUUACACUUCCUAAAGACCGAAAAUUUGACCGAAAUAUAUGAUACUUUUGUGGUGGGGCCUGAGAAGAUUGAGU